rnacentral:rRNA from 1 species
AAUUCACUAGUGAUUGCGGCAUGCCUAACACAUGCAAGUCGAGCGGCAKCGGGAGGAAGCUUGCUUCCUUGCCGGCGAGCGGCGAACGGGUGAGUAAUGUAUAGGGAUCUGGCCGAAGGCGGGGGAUAACCACUGGAAACGGUGGCKAAUACCGCAUAAUCUCUAAGGAGCAAAGUGGGGGAUCGUUAUGGCCUAACACCUUCGGAUGAACCCAUAUGAGAUUAGCUAGUAGGUGGGGUAAAGGCUCACCUAGGCRACGAUCUCUAGCUGGUCUGAGAGGAUGAUCAGCCACACUGGGACUGAGACACGGCCCAKACUCCUACGGGAGGCAGCAGUGGGGAAUAUUGCACAAUGGGCACAAGCCUGAUGUACCCAUGCUGCGUGUAUGAAGAAGGCCUUCGGGUUGUAAAGUACUUUCAGUCGUGAGGAAGGUGUUAGGGUUAAUAGCCUUAGCAAUUGACGUUAGCGACAGAAGAAGCACCGGCUAACUCCGUGCCAGCAACCGCGGUAAUACGGAGGGUGCAAGCAUUAAUCGGAAUUACUGGGCGUAAAGGGCACGCRGGCGGUUAAUUAAGUUGGAUGUGAAAUCCCCGGGCUUAACCUGGGAAUAGCAUUCAAGACUGGUUAGCUA